UGGGGAAUAUUGCACAAUGGGCGAAAGCCUGAUGCAGCGACGCCGCGUGGGGGAUGAAGGCCUUCGGGUUGUAAACCCCUUUCAGCAGGGAAGAAGCGAAAGUGACGGUACCUGCAGAAGAAGCGCCGGCUAACUACGUGCCAGCAGCCGCGGUAAUACGUAGGGCGCAAGCGUUGUCCGGAAUUAUUGGGCGCAAAGAGCUCGUAGGCGGUUUGUCGUGUCUGCUGUGAAAACCCGAGGAUCAACCUCGGGCCUGCAGUGGGUACGGGCAGACUAGAGUGUGGUAGGGGAGACUGGAAUUCCUGGUGUAGCGGUGAAAUGCGCAGAUAUCAGGAGGAACACCGAUGGCGAAGGCAGGUCUCUGGGCCACUACUGACGCUGAGAAGCGAAAGCGUGGGGAGCGAACAGG
rnacentral:rRNA from 2 species